rnacentral:rRNA from 1 species
GGAAUUUUCCGCAAUGGGCGAAAGCCUGACGGAGCAACGCCGCGUGAGGGAUGAAGGCCUCUGGGCUGUAAACCUCUUUUCUCAAGGAAGAAGAUCUGACGGUACUUGAGGAAUAAGCCACGGCUAAUUCCGUGCCAGCAGCCGCGGUAAUACGGGAGUGGCAAGCGUUAUCCGGAAUUAUUGGGCGUAAAGCGUCCGCAGGCGGCCUUACAAGUCUGUCGUUAAAGCGUGGAGCUUAACUCCAUUUCAGCGAUGGAAACUGUAAGGCUAGAGUGUGGUAGGGGCAGAGGGAAUUCCCGGUGUAGCGGUGAAAUGCGUAGAUAUCGGGAAGAACACCAGUGGCGAAGGCGCUCUGCUGGGCCAUAACUGACGCUCAUGGACGAAAGCCAGGGGAGCGAAAGGGAUUAGAUACCCCUGUAGUCCUGGCCGUAAACGAUGAACACUAGGUGUCGGGGGAAUCGACCCCCUCGGUGUCGUAGCCAACGCGUUAAGUGUUCCGCCUGGGGAGUACGCACGCAAGUGUGAAACUCAAAUGAAUUGACGGA